rnacentral:rRNA from 1 species
UACGGAGGAUGCGAGCGUUAUCCGGAUUUAUUGGGUUUAAAGGGUGCGUAGGCGGGCUUUUAAGUCAGCGGUAAAAAUUUGGGGCUCAACCCCGUCCGGCCGUUGAAACUGGGGGUCUUGAGUGGGCGAGAAGAAGGCGGAAUGCGUGGUGUAGCGGUGAAAUGCAUAGAUAUCACGCAGAACCCCGAUUGCGAAGGCAGCCUUCCGGCGCCCUACUGACGCUGAGGCACGAAAGUGCGGGGAUCGAACAGG